GUAGCUCCGAAUGCCCCGCCAUGUAAGGCUUCGUAGCGGUUUCCUAAUCUGGGGGUCGCGCGUUCGAAUCGCGCCGGGAUCACCA
rnacentral:tRNA from 1 species